ncrna:unclassified sequences NiCo riboswitch
AAUCUGAGCAAGCGGUGAAUAGGUGACUAUUUCAUGCAGCCCGGCUACUAAACGUAGCAGCAGAGUGUUAAGGCACAUCUGUGAGACAG